rnacentral:rRNA from 1 species
AGUGAACGCUGGCGGUAGGCCUAACACAUGCAAGUCGAACGGCAGCACAGUAAGAGCUUGCUCUUACGGGUGGCGAGUGGCGGACGGGUGAGGAAUACAUCGGAAUCUACCUUUUCGUGGGGGAUAACGUAGGGAAACUUACGCUAAUACCGCAUACGACCUACGGGUGAAAGCAGGGGAUCUUCGGACCUUGCGCGAUUGAAUGAGCCGAUGUCGGAUUAGCUAGUUGGCGGGGUAAAGGCCCACCCAGGCGACGAUCCGUAGCUGGUCUGAGAGGAUGAUCAGCCACACUGGAACUGAGACACGGUCCAGACUCCUACGGGAGGCAGCAGUGGGGAAUAUUGGACAAUGGGCGCAAGCCUGAUCCAGCCAUACCGCGUGGGUGAAGAAGGCCUUCGGGUUGUAAAGCCCUUUUGUUGGGAAAGAAAAGCAGCAGGUUAAUACCCCGCUGUUCUGACGGUACCCAAAGAAUAAGCACCGGCUAACUUCGUG